GACGAACCGUGCGAACGUUGUUCGGAAUCACUGGGCUUAAAGGGCGCGUAGGCGGGUCACCAAGUCCGGGGUGAAAUCUUUCGGCUUAACCGGAAAACUGCCUUGGAUACUGGUGAUCUCGAGGGAGGUAGGGGUCUGUGGAACUUCUGGUGGAGCGGUGAAAUGCGUUGAUAUCAGAAGGAACGCCGGUGGCGAAAGCGACGACUGGACCUCCACUGACGCUGAGGCGCGAAAGCUAGGGGAGCAAACGGG
rnacentral:rRNA from 1 species